rnacentral:tRNA from 1 species
GGGGUUGUGGCUCAGCGAUAGAGUGCUCAUCUAGCAUGUGCAAGGCCCUGAGUUCGAUCCUCAGUACCACA